UGGGGAAUUUUGGACAAUGGGCGAAAGCCUGAUCCAGCCAUGCCGCGUGAGUGAAGAAGGCCUUCGGGUUGUAAAGCUCUUUUAGUCGGAAAGAAAGAGUUGCAAUGAAUAAUUGUGAUUGAUGACGGUACCGACAGAAAAAGCACCGGCUAACUACGUGCCAGCAGCCGCGGUAAUACGUAGGGUGCGAGCGUUAAUCGGAAUUACUGGGCGUAAAGGGUGCGCAGGCGGUCUUGCAAGUCAGAUGUGAAAGCCCCGGGCUUAACCUGGGAAGUGCGUUUGAAACUACAAGGCUAGAGUGCAGCAGAGGGGAGUGGAAUUCCAUGUGUAGCAGUGAAAUGCGUAGAGAUGUGGAAGAACACCGAUGGCGAAGGCAGCUCCCUGGGUUGACACUGACGCUCAUGCACGAAAGCGUGGGGAGCAAACA
rnacentral:rRNA from 1 species